UGCCGGGGUCCUGGUCUAGGAUUGGCUGUUCGCUCAUAACCAUAAGUAGAGGAAUGCCAGCCAGCCGUGGAGAGACUCUCUGGACGUCCAAUUUCAAAGCGCGGUGAGAAUCGGCGGUGUGGCCGGGCUUGGUGUUCCCUGGGUUUAACUAGCCUGUUUGCUACCUGAAGACCCAGCUCAACCAUGAUGGGUGCCAGCCCGACCAGGUGUGCCCACCCGCGGCCUCUUCUCCAUCGACUCGCACCACGCAGACUCGCUGCCCUGGAGGAAC